rnacentral:lncRNA from 1 species
CGGUGGGACUCUGCUGGCGUCGCUGGCGCGAUGCGAGCUCGUCGAGAGAGGAGGGGGCGGGGGUGCGGGUUCAUGCCGGGGCGGGUCCGAGGACAAGAGGCUCGCCGCGUUCAGACGUGCGUUCAAGCGCGCGUCGCUGCGAUGGCACCCGGACAAGUUCGAGGGUAAGUUCGGCGGCGCGCUCUGCGACGAUGUGUGUGGCGACGAUGAUGACGGGAUGGUCAGGACGGGCGGGACGGGCGGGACGGGCGGGGAAGGACGGGGGGAGACGCACGCGCAGCACAUCAGGCGCAGGGUGCGGUGCAUCGCGCAGGAGAUCAACGAUGCGUGGAGCGCCAUCGUUGCGUGAGUUCCCGAGUAGAACCGAGUAGAACCGGUUGGUUUUCGGCCCGGUUCGGCCCGGGGAAUAUCGUGAGCAAAAAACGUGGUUCGCCGAGGUAAACAGUGACAGUUGGCCAUCGAGAUUCGAUAUUCACUUUACCCUUUGGCGGACAUGUGUCAUUUGAGUGCCGUCCCGAACUUUCCCCGAGUGCCGUCCAGAUCACCACACGGCGGAUCAGUCUGCCGAUUUCGAAAGGCUCAGAUAUUUUGCAGAAGUCCAUCUGUUCAGAUAUUUAUCUCGGAUAGGGACAGAUUCCUUUCCACCCGCUCCGCCCAAUCAAUGAGUUACAGACCAUCCCUUUUUGCGAACUUUCCCG